rnacentral:lncRNA from 1 species
UGGCCUGUUCUCCCUACUGGCCUCUGGCAAGAGGUUCCGCAGCAUAAAGAGCUGAACAACCAGAUUCUGCAACAGUUUCUUUCCCCAAAUCAUCAGACUGUUGAACCAGAAAUAACUUCUUCUCCUGAGCAAUGUGAACUCCACUCUAAGGACUCUUAAAUGUAUAUAUUUUAUACAGUGUAUAUAUGUUAUUUAUGAGUGAGUGAGUAGCAUUGCACACACACACACAAUAACACACACACAAUAACUUAGGAGCAAUAUAUGAUGUUCCUGCAAGAUCGCCACAAUAUUUUAGAUGCUCCUUUUAUCAUUUUGAGCACCUUGGUGCCAUCACUUGCACAUUAACAAGAAGAAAUUGAUUUCCAGUAAACUACUAAUCGUCCACAACGGUAGUACCAGCAAAUAAAUUCAAACUGACACUAUUUCCUCAGCGGUUCAACGUGGCAAUGACCCGAGCACGAGCCUUUCUGAUUGUGGUUGGAGACCCGAGACUCUUGAAAACUGACCAAAUCUGGAACAAGUAAGUCUUUAUGGCCUUAUCAGUAUUCUCUUUCAGUGGAGAAGGAUUGGUUGGACAAAUGCAUAUCUAACUCAGACAUGCCUCAUGCACUGACUUCUCUUUUUAGAUUCAUCCAUUACUGCUUCAAAGAAGGGGGUUACCGUGGUAUUUCAGUCUUUAAUGGAGAGGAAGAGGAAGAUACACUGACUAAUGUACACCGAGCCUUUGAUCUACAGCCCACGGUGGAGAGUGAUUCGGCAACAACUGGACCACGGUCGUAGAAACCAAAACACAAGCUGCAGUACUUAACAUAUAAAAGUAAGAAUAAGUCACUGACACUUGUUGACGACUGCGAAACGAAGGAAAACACUUUAUGGUUUGCUAAGAAUUGUCAUGGAACAAGAAAUGAUUUAUUUUCAAUUGACAUUUUACUACCUGGGACAUUGAGAUGACUCGACAUACAGUCAAUAGAUAUUUUUCUAUAUGUAGUAUUUCCCUCUUAUUUUUUUCAUACCCAAAUAAUUGUUAGAAUAAUCACAAAGAGAAGUAUGAUCAUAAGUCUGCCGAUGACUAAUUAUGAGCCUCCUGUUUAAGAACAGAGUCACAACUCAGUGUUUGUUCAUUUCAUCA